rnacentral:rRNA from 1 species
AGUGAACGCUGGCGGUAGGCCUAACACAUGCAAGUCGAACGGCAGCACAGUAAGAGCUUGCUCUUACGGGUGGCGAGUGGCGGACGGGUGAGGAAUACAUCGGAAUCUACUUUUUCGUGGGGGAUAACGUAGGGAAACUUACGCUAAUACCGCAUACGACCUACGGGUGAAAGCAGGGGAUCUUCGGACUUUGCGCGAUUGAAUGAGCCGAUGUCGGAUUAGCUAGUUGGCGGGGUAAAGGCCCACCAAGGCGACGAUCCGUAGCUGGUCUGAGAGGAUGAUCAGCCACACUGGAACUGAGACACGGUCCAGACUCCUACGGGAGGCAGCAGUGGGGAAUAUUGGACAAUGGGUGCAAGCCUGAUCCAGCCAUACCGCGUGGGUGAAGAAGGCCUUCGGGUUGUAAAGCCCUUUUGUUGGGAAAGAAAAGCAGCAGGUUAAUACCCCGCUGUUCUGACGGUACCCAAAGAAUAAGCACCGGCUAACUUCGUG